rnacentral:rRNA from 1 species
ACCUUCGGGUCACAUGAGUGAGUGGCGAACGGGUGAGCCACACGUGAGGAACCUGCCCCGAAGACUGGAAUAACCCGGGGAAACCCGGGCUAAUACCGGAUGCCCCCAGAUGGCCGCAUGGCCGACUGAGGAAAUGCUCCGGCGCUUCGGGAGGGUCUCGCGGCCUAUCAGCUUGUUGGUGAGGUAACGGCUCACCAAGGCAACGACGGGUAGCUGGUCUGAGAGGACGAUCACCCACUCUGGGACUGAUAUACCGCCCAGACUCCUACGGGAGGCAGCAGUAGGGAAUCUUGCGCAAUGGGCGAAGGCCUGACGCACCCACCCCGCGUGAGUGAUGAAGGCCUUCGGGUCGUAAAGCUCUUUCAGCGGGGAAAAAAAUGACGGUACCUGCAAAAGAAGCUCCGGCCAACUACGUGCCAGCAGCCGCGGUAACACGUAGGGAGCAAGCGUUGUCCGGAUUUAUUGGGCGUAAAGGGCUCGUAGGCUGUUCAGUAAGUCAGGUGUGAAAACUCGAGGCUCAACCUCGAGACGCCACUUGAUA